CUGCAAGGAUACUUGACGCGGGAUUUUACCUCAGGAUUCAUGAACAGUUUUUCAUCGACUUAUUUCUGAUUUAUUUGAAGGAAAAGACCCUGAUGGAUAAAAGAUGGAUAUUUUUUCCUGGAGAAGCUAAAACAAUGUAACUUUGAGGUUCUGAUACCAGCUUUUACAAAGUUAUUUACAGAGUUCACCAGACUUCUCUGUGUUAUUUCCUGACCAUGCCGAAAAGCUAUUUGAAACUUGGGCAUUGCAUUUUCCAGACAGAAUCCUGCACUUCCCAGCCAAGAACCAGGAGCAUCAACAAAUCACCUCCAGAACCCCAUGAUGAUAUUCCAACUCCUGUCUACAAAAGUGGGAAGAAAAUCUUAAGUCUAUGUUGGGACCAACAUGGUUGCAUUCUUCUGAGAGCCUGAUGUGACAAAACCAUUCCCAUUUGUCCUUGGAUUGGAAGAUGGCGAUCUCUGCCAUCAAGCAGUCAUUGUUUUUGACAGACAGUCACUCCAGCAAUACACCCUCCUUGGUGAUGUUGAUAUGUUUUAAACUUUUUUUUUUAUGUUUUGGACAUUAAUUUUACUAAGCAGUGCACAUCAGUGUGGGUGUUUUUGAAGACUGUUGUUUACAAACUCCCAAGAACGGAAUCCCUUUCUAUAAGAAGUCUGUGUAGUUAUUUGUCAUGCUAAGGUGAUAACUCAUGUUGAUCAUAUAUUGACUGUUUGUGCAACUUUGUGUUGAUCUUAUGUGUUACAUUAACCAUUUCUUAUUACACGGUUCUCUAAAAUGCUAGAUUCUGAUUGGCCAGUCGUGACAUUCUACUACUGCUCAAAACUAAAAACUCCAAUGCUGCAAAUCAUUUUGACAGGUACAGUUUUAUAUUACACAAAAAUUAAAUAUCAAUGUCUAUUAAUUACAUAUCCGACAUUAAAUUUAUAAAUGAUUAAAUGUGUUCGUGACAUUUGUCCUGAAGAAACUGUUGGGGCUUUUUUCUGUGAUGACAUGCUGCCAAUACAUUAUCCCUUACUUGUACAACUUUUUACUUGAUCUAAUUGUAAUGUUAACUGGGUAUCUGUCAUUUUAGAUUGUGAGAUAUAAUACUAAUAUAUUUUUUUAUUUAUAUAUAAUAUAUAAACGUAUGUAUGUUUAUUAAAAAGUGAAAAUGCUUAAUGGAAAUAAUUAAAUAACUAAAUGGUUGAAUGAAAUGAGACAUUUUAAAUGUAAACUAAAGUUUUGCUGUCUAAUACAGA